rnacentral:rRNA from 1 species
UACGAAGGGUGCGAGCGUUAUUCGGAAUCACUGGGCGUAAAGGGUGCGUAGACGGUGUGUUAAGUUUGUCGUUAAGGACUCUAGCCUAACUGGAGGGUUGCGAUGAAAACUAGCAUGCUAGAGGAUGAGAGAGAGAAGUGGAAUUCCCGGAGUAGCGGUAAAAUGCGUGGAUCUCGGGAGGAACACCAAUGGCGAAGGCAGCUUCUUGGCUCAUUCCUGACGUUGAGGCACGAAAGCGUGGGGAGCGAACAGG